GGGGAGGGGGGGCGGUCUCGCCGACGGCUGUUUCGUUUCCUUAAGACUUGAGGAUGAGGCGGGAAAAGGCCGCCCCUCCGGACGUCCCGAUGGCCACCUGGGGACAACUGUGAGCGUUUUGGGGUGCGUGAAGAACAGACCCUAAAUAGUGUCCCCUCCACACGGCGCCGCCCCCCCACCCCCCCUCUGGCACCCCCAGCCGCACGCUGCCACAGUUUGGAUUCUCGGGAUGCAGCUCCACGGCCCCUGGAGUUCCCUCUUACUGAAAUCCCCCUCCCCAGCUGUCGCACCAACAGCCUUUACGGUGUGAGAGUGUUUGAACUGUGUUAAUGCGCCCCGAAUCCGCCGGAUACACCGUCCUGUAAGGAGGCAAUAACAUUUUUCUGGCAAGUCCGGGAAUGUUCGUGCUUAAAUAAACCAAACAAGGACAGCCCGGUCCUGGAAA